UGUGCAAGAUAAUUAUUUGCAUCCAGUGGUGAACCAAGUAACCAACCACAGUAGGAAGUAUAGAUUCGCCUAAUUGUGCUGCUGAUAUUCUCUAUAAACUCUCUAUCUAUAAACUAUUUACAUUAAUGUUUGUGCAUAAUGGCUACCUCUGUCUGAUGAAGACACUAGCAGAUAGUCAAUUUGCCAGCAGGUUUGUGUGCACUGGAAACAUUAAUUCAUGUAUCAUGUCUGUCACCAAAACAGAUCUCUGCAGAUCCUGAAGUCGAACUCCCAGUGACCCCAUGCAUCCUAAUCAGAGGUGACCAGCAAUUCAAGAUUGCUGUUGAUGGGUUACUUGUCAAUGACCACAUCACCUCUCCCAUUGUGGCCUUGAGCUACGUCUUCUCCAUGUUUUAUGUCUGCAACGUCCAAUACCCACCGGAGAUGGCUUUUACUCUCGAAUUCAUGCAAAGAGUUUUCUUUGGGGUCAAUCCUGAGCGAGGCUCCAAGGCAGAGAAGAAGGGGAAGAAACGGCACUUCAUUCCUCCACAGGUGUGCAAGCUGGUUUCUCAGCUGAAGGAAUUUGAAUGCAAGCAGAAGGAAUCUGAAUGGGCCAUUUGAGCUGUUCUCAGAGCUCAGAAAAUACCUUUUUGGACUGAAUGUACACACACACACACACACACAAAGGCAAAUCCAAAAACAUGGGGCUUGGGAGUAGAAAUACAGAUUUUUACAGUAUUAGGUGAGUUCAGAUGUUUUAACUAGAUGCCCACAACACACAUGCUGCAGUUUCAAAUCCCCCAUGUUAAGGGGGAGGGAAGGUGGGCGAUAUUUGUCAUUCCGGUUAAGCUUUUCCUGUCAUUGUGGAGUUGAAGGUGUAAGUUUUAAUUUUUUUUUAGUUUUAAGUUGUUUUAAGAGUUUUAAAAAUCUCUUUAUGGCAUGUUGCACAGUCAUCCUUCUAAAGUCAUGGUUGUUAUUGCUGCACUGAUGUUUUAUAGAAAAGUUGUAUAAUGUAAUACUUCUAAUGUUCUAUUUGUUUUUUGUAGAAAGGUCAGCCACUGGUUGCAGAGCUCUGCCUGUCGGUGUGAUAUGUGGAGUUGGAGGUGUAGGUUUCUGCAUCCUCCUGGAGGGGGCUCCUCAUUUUGCACUGACAGGUGAGACAGCAACAGCAAUGCUGGCAAUUUUAUUGUCUUAUUUUGUCAUUGUCUUUAACAAAUCAAUUUGUUAUUAAUGCCUGUCAGCCUGUGGAUGCUAAAAGGUUGCUAGAUUUGGCAUCUCCCUGUUAAAGGACAUGGCUGUACUUCUUUGAGAGAACAGCUGGUUUAUGUAUGUAAAAUUUCUCUGAAUGUGAAGGUGAUGUUCUGAAUGUUUUAAUGGUUGUAAUGUAAAUAUUGCAAAUCAUUCACCACAAAAAGUGAAAUCACUUUAAAGCACUGGCAGCUGUUAAAGGAAAUAAAUAAUUGCUGUGAUUCUACAUUUGUGCUUUAUUGAUGGUAAACGGUAUAGAGAAUGGUACAGAAUUAAACAUUUUAGGAUGACUGAAGUGUCCGUAAAUGGUAUGGAUUGAGUACUUAAAUAAUACGGAAUAUUCCAUUUUAGGUUUGAUGGAACUGUCCAUAAAUGGUAAAGAAAAAGUCAGGUAAAUCUACGGAAAUAUCUGUUAUAGGGUUUACGGAAUUGUCUGUGCAAUAACGCCGAAAUUUAUGGAAAAUACGGAAUUUUCCAUUUUAGGUUUGACGGAAAUGUCCGUCAAUGGUACAGAAAAACUCGGGUAAAUCUACAGAAAUAUCCGUUUUAAGGUUUACGGAAGUGCUCGUAC
ensembl:lncRNA